rnacentral:rRNA from 1 species
CCUACGGGUGGCAGCAGUGAGGAAUAUUGGUCAAUGGACGAGCCUCUGAACAACCCAAGUAGCGUGAAGGAUGACCGCCCUAUGGGUUGUAAACUUCUUUUCUAAAGGAAUAAAACGAGGCACGUGUGCAUUUUUGCAUGCACUUUAUGAAUAAGGAUCGGCUAACUCCGUGCCAGCAGCAGCGGUAAUACGGAGGAUCCGAGCGUUAUCCGGAUUUAUUGGGUUUAAAGGGAGCGUAGAUGGGCUGGUAAGUCAGGUGUGAAAGUUUGCGGCUCAACCCUGAGAUUGCAAUUGAUACUGGCAGGCUGGAGUACAGUUGAGGUAGGCGGAAUUCGGGGGGUAGCGGUGACAUGCUUAGAGAUUACGAAGAACACCGAUUGCGAAGGCAGCUUACUAAACUGUGACUGACAUUGAUGCUCGAAAGUGUGGGGAUCAAACAGGAUUAGAUACCCUUGUAGUC